CGGUGCAGCUAAAAUGGCACGGCUCUCUUUUCUUUCCUUCUUUCCCUAGCUCCAAACACGGCGACUCAAUUGUGGAGGGGUACCGCUAACCCCAGACGGGGAAAGAAGGGGUGCAUGCGCUGGACGAGAGAGAUACCAAGGGAGAGGGUGUGCGGAGGAGUUCGCUGGGGUGGAGUGCGAGGGCUACGACGCGGCUGUGGAGGAGGGGAAGAGAGUGCCGGAGAUGCUCGUAGGCGUUUAGGAGGGAGAAGGGAUUAGAGGAAGGAAAACGGAGAGUUAGUGCUUAGUCCUAGGUACCUCCACAGGCUGUUCACGAUGAGCUAGACGAUAUGCCGUCGCCGCCCCUUGUGGCCGGCAGCCAGACGGAGAGCUACGAGUAGGAGGCCCUCCGACGCGCGCCUCGGACGGCGACUUGAAGCGGAGGUGUAGCGGUACUUCCACCAAGAAGAAGAAGCGACUGGACAAGUAGGUAGCGAGCAGAACAAGCAGAGAGACAACAGGCCAGGAGCAGCAGCAGUUCCCUAACCGUAGUAGCCAAGUAUUAGUUCAAACUGAGCAAUAGAUUAGACGACCCGUAUAGCUGAGACGCCGAUUCCACGCGAAGGGUGAGAAAAAUUGAACAAAGCCAACGAACACGAACCUAACGCAGACGAAUAAGCGUCAAUAAAAGCAACACGAUAAACACUAUAAACACUCUACGGUGUAGAAACUAUACUAGAGAAUAUCGAUUCUUUUCCAUUUUUUUGUAGGAAAACAGAAGGUUGAGUUGUUAAUAAACUGUAACGAUUUUAUCUUGGUAAAAUAAAAGGGAUUGAUAUAGAACUGAUAUAUCCAGUUCUGACUGAACAAAAGCCGUGUGUACCAAGGGUAACGGAACAAUACUUUGUUCCGUAUUCGUCUAUGGUUUUAAAUCCCAGCUAGCUACCCAUGCUUUGUGUAUACAGUCACUUCAUUGAAACCCCUUCGUACUUGAGUUUUUAAAUCCUCGUGAACUGUCGCUCUGCCUCAAUUGACUUUCAUUAGAUGUUUGAAACUCUAAAGCUAAAGACGGAGACAAUGAAACAACUACGAGUACUUCGCAAAGAACAAUACAGACGAAGUUAAAAGAAAAGAAAAAAGACAACACACUAAAAGGUUCGUUCCAACAAACCAGCUAAGAACAAAACGAAGAAACUCGAAAACCAAAGACGGAGACACUUAUGCGAGUAGUCCACAAAGAAGAAUACACACGGUUCGGACGACACGAUCUAUCUACUGUACGGACGUCGUGUUCAAUACAACUUUGGUUCAGACGACACUUACUAUUCGUUCCAACAAACCAGCCAAGAACAAAACGAAGAAAGUCUAAAGCUAAACACGGAGUACGAUAGUAAUAGGGUAGUCUCAUCCAUGUUUAGUCUCCUCCAAGUUAGUACAAUAGUAAUACCAAAGAUAUUAAAAUAAUAUCUGCCUACGAAGAAAAGGGAACAAACAAGAUAUGUUGUUUCACGUGAAAGCUAACUAUAAUAAUGUACAAUAAUUUUCACGUCUAACAUCAAAACCAGUGAGUUCAUUUUAACUCCCUCAGUAAUUGUCAUCCACGAUUAACUCCAACAUGUUCCUAUAGAAGUCAAGAACUAUUUCGUAUCACGGUAGACAGAAGGGGGGGAAAACAAGACGGUCUAGACCAAGAAAAAUCAAAGACAUGAACAAGAACGACACCCCAAGAACUACUCAGAGUAUGUCUAACUAUACCACAUGUAAAAACGUUCACACACAUGUCAGACUUGUUCACUAAUCAUAUACCGACUCCGACAUUUAAGAGAACCAAAAAUGAAGACCUCAAGUCGAUCUAAGUCAAAACGCCGCAAAUCAUGUGACGAUAAACUCGUCCGGUCGUUUCUUAACGAAAUGACUAACAACUCGACACGACGUGAAAAAGAAGUGUGCUUUACCGGAGAAACAACUAGAAAAAAGGGGCAAAAGAACCUCUCACGACGGAAACGUUACCAAACCGGUAUUUAAACAACAGAACGCUAUCGGUUUAUGACUUGAAGUCUCCCUCUGUAAGCGACAAAAAGUCUUAAAUACCUUGAUGUUUUUUAUUGACCGAGUCGAAUUAUUAAGACGAAUGUGGGGACAAACAUUUCUGAAGACAAAUCAUGUGCGAACUAUGGAUCGUCGUCAUGGGGACAAAACAAUAAUGAUGGGGGCAAGGAUUUAUAUUCUACAAAAUCAUCAAGUUAAAAUUGACGGUUUUGUAGAACAAAGAUCUUUGUCUCCCACAUAAACUGACGUUCUAAACUAUCGUUUCGUAUCGUCAUUCACCAGGUUUCUUUCCUGUGGCGAAGAGAGUUUGCUAAAUUUACAGAUGGAUUGAACGAAGAUACUUAAAGGACGAGAUAAGAACCAUACAGGCUACCAAUAUAAUCGGGACAUUAGAUGGCUGCGUAGCUUUUAUUAUCAAUGAUGUUCUAGAAUAGGGACGAAUGUGUAAAGAGUUUCUCUACUAUAUCCACUGUGCUAAUAGAACUGUUGUAUCUCGUACAUACAAACAACAGCAACACGAAGACAAGACAGUUGACUCGCACUAUUUAAGAGAGACAAACGUCGAAAGAGAGAAAAAAAGUUAGAAACGAGUAUACCUGUGUAGGAGACGAUCGAGAAAUUAAGGUAAAUUGAAUCUCGGACAAGCCGUUGUGAGGUGAGGAGAUUAAAGAGUUGAGGUGAGGAAUGAAGAGUUGAGGGUUGAGAUGAACGUAUAAAAUCUUAAAACGUUUUGCAAGCCGUGGGUUGAGGUCGAGAAGAUGCACACGCGUACCUCUUUUCCUUAGCCCCGUUCGCCCCUCAUGCUCUCUAAACACCCCAAGACAAAGGAUAAAAAAAAGAGCUUGGCCAUUCACCGCACAUUUUUAAACAUGCUCGGUAGCUCUGCCUCGCGCGCCUCGCAGUGAAAGGGCUGAGGUCGCUAAACAUGAUGCCCGGCGAGGCGAGGCCUAAUACUUUAGAUGCCUCAACUGAGCAAGCCACGCCGAGUCGGCCGAGGGCAUCGCCUCAACUCCUCGCCUCCCGAGGGCUUGUGGGGGAAUUAGAGAUAGAGGUAAAUUGAACAACUAUAUCAUGGUGGAGGUAAUGUUUGGCAAGAAAACUAGACGACGAGAGGAAAUAAAGAAAGGUAAAAUAGAAUGAAGGUUAUUAAUUAAACUCCAAUUUUAGGACUUUAAAUCACUACAUUACGUGGUUUUAACCCCAUCAAAAAAAAUAAAUAGUGUUCUUUACUCACGAUGAUAAUACGCAAAUAAGAACAAAACAGUAAUAAGAUGCUACUAGUUGGUACUGACAAGAAAGUUUCACUCGAAGUAAAGAGAUAUCAGUUGAGAAAUUUACCAUAAGAAAACUUAUAAAAGUCACGGUACAAAUGAAUAAAAUAUGUGAUAUGUCACUACCACUUUCUGAACUUCAUCUAGUACGAUCGUAAAAGGGUUACACUACUGAUACUGGUUAUCAAUCGGACGUGUAGAAUGAAAGUUACGGAAGCUAGUGUGGCAGCGGUGGAUUUUCCAUACGCGGGAACGGGGGAAAAUAAGAGAACGGGAAAGGCGGAACGACCCUCUUCUACAUACACACAAGACAAAAUCUGUUACCACAAGUACAUUCGCGCAAGUGCGGUACAAGGGUUCAUGAUACAAGAGAAAAUAAAGACCUUAGCACAGAUAAGCGUGUUCAUGAUACGUGUGUCGUUGUGUACCAGAUAUGACGACGUUUAACAAGACGCAAUCGAAACUUAGACAAUCACUUCAACAAUAACAUACCAUUGCCACAUGAAAAUACCCGACUAAUUAUCUUACCUAGACAUACACGAUAUCUAUCGAUUAGGAAACGUUGUUAAAUUAUUCUACGACUUUAGUUUCCGCACCGGAGAUAAACUAGUCGUGCCAUACGAUAUUUUGGCUCUUCUUCUCUUCCUCCUCAUACCCACACUAAACGAAGACAAAAGCAAUAUAUUAACAUCCGAGACAACCAUGGUUUAAAAAAAAGACCACAUUUAAAAACGAGAACGCUAAACAGAGAACAUUAAUAGAACUUAGGAUGUCAGUCAACGUAAAAACCAUGGUACACUCUCAAACCAGGACGUUAAGCCAAGGAUGUCAGUCAACGUAAAAAGAACAUACUUUAAUUUCACAGCAUCAAAUAGUUAUAGUGGGCUUAACCUGGUAGACUGUAAAGUAUUCGAAAUAGUCAUGAUACAAGAGGAAUCGACAUGACGACGAGGUUGACUUCCAAACGAGAGUCAAAGUCUAGAGGGACUCAAUAAGGUCUUAGAUAAUACGAGAAAAUGUAACUUAAGGAACCCAACUUUGACACUCGACACGGAUAAAAAUUAAGAUUUUAUAUAGACGAAACAGAUCUCUUCCAUCUUGCUGUUCCAAUAAGUCUACAAAAUGUCAUAGACUAUACGGGGAAUUAAUCAUUCCACCCGAGUGUUCGAACCCAGGACUCGGUGUUCUUGAGCUCUUUCCGUAGUAUGUAAGGAAAAAAACGUUCCGUGACUGUUGAAGUCUAUGCUAACGGGUACCUGUACAGAGUCUUAGGGCGUACAGUUGUUGACCAUCGGUUUCUAGAAGUACCUUGACUCACCGUAAAAGCAGUGUAAAAAACACUACUAAAAUGUUAAACUCAUAAGUCGAACUUAUGGGAAAUUUGAAAGACAGCAAGACAAGAAUAACAAAAGCAUAUCGCCAUCUACAGUGUUAACUUACAACUUAAGAAUAGUGACGUCUUUUAACGUCGUAUAUCACUAAGUAAUGAAGAACUCAUACAACUUGACAUAGGGACAGACCAAGAUAUAGUACGGAAGGCUACAAAACACAAAGUCUACGAUAGAAACAUAAAUUCACAGUAAAUAAAUCAAUAAAGUUUUAAACAACUGCGUUGAAGAAUGUAGGUUA
rnacentral:rRNA from 1 species